rnacentral:rRNA from 1 species
AUUGAACGCUGGCGGCAUGCCUAACACAUGCAAGUCGAGCGGAGCUGCGGACGGGUGAGUAAUGCCUAGGAAUCUGCCUGGUAGUGGGGGAUAACGUCCGGAAACGGGCGCUAAUACUGCAUACUAUCAGAUUAGCCUAGGUGGGAUUAGCUGGUUGUUGGGGUAAAGGCCUACCAAGGCGACGAUCCGUAACUGGUCUGAUAGGAUGAUCAGUCAAACGAGAACUGGGACACGGGCCAGAAUACUAAGGGAGGCAGCAGUGGGGAAUAUUGGACAAUGGGCGAAAGCCUGAUCCAGCCAUGCCGCGGGUGUGAAGAAGGUCUUCGGAUUGUAAAGCACUUUAAGUUGGGGGACGUUACCAACAGAAUAAGCACCGGCUAACUUCGUGCCAGCAGCCGCGGUAAUUC